rnacentral:rRNA from 1 species
UACGUAGGCAGCGAGCGUUGUUCGGAGUUACUGGGCGGAAAGGGUGUGUAGGCGGUCCUCCAAGUUUGGUGUGAAAUCUCCCGGCUCAACCGGGAGGGUGCGCCGAAAACUGGGGGGCUAGAGUGCGGGAGGGGAGAGUGGAAUUCCUGGUGUAGCGGUGAAAUGCGUAGAUAUCAGGAGGAACACCGGUGGUGUAGACGGCUCUCUGGACCGUAACUGACGCUGAGACACGAAAGCGUGGGUAGCAAACAGG